AAGUGUUAAAGUGAUGCCCAACAAGAUGUCAUCCAUUCUGGAAGGAGGCCCUCUGGGACACUCAGUGACGUGCAGCAAUCCAGGAGUCCACUAGAGCUGAUGGCAGUGCUGGACAGAAUCUGUCUCUGAAGAGGAUUCUGACCUGCAGCUCUCCUGUGAAUCAGGAGUACAAGUCAGUCUUGAGCCUUUCCUCGUGAGCUGACAUACAGAUCAAGAGGCCUCCACAGCCCCCGUUUUUCUCAUCUAGAAUCCGGAUGCCAAGCUUUGUCAGCUCCACUGUAUCAUCAGCCAGCCCGGGCCUCUCCAAGUUGUCAUGGUAACAGAAUACCCUCAUCCCUGUUGUUUCUU
rnacentral:lncRNA from 1 species